rnacentral:rRNA from 1 species
GACGAACGCUGGCGGCGUGCUUAACACAUGCCAGUCGAACGGAAAGGCCCUGCUUUUGUGGGGUGCUCGAGUGGCGAACGGGUGAGUAACACGUGAGUAACCUGCCCUUGACUUUGGGAUAACUUCAGGAAACUGGGGCUAAUACCGGAUAGGAGCUCCUGCUGCAUGGUGGGGGUUGGAAAGUUUCGGCGGUUGGGGAUGGACUCGCGGCUUAUCAGCUUGUUGGUGGGGUAGUGGCUUACCAAGGCUUUGACGGGUAGCCGGCCUGAGAGGGUGACCGGCCACAUUGGGACUGAGAUACGGCCCAGACUCCUACGGGAGGCAGCAGUGGGGAAUAUUGCACAAUGGGCGGAAGCCUGAUGCAGCAACGCCGCGUGCGGGAUGACGGCCUUCGGGUUGUAAACCGCUUUCGCCUGUGACGAAGCGUGAGUGACGGUAAUGGGUAAAGAAGCAACGGCUAACUACGUG